UACGUAGGUGGCAAGCGUUGUCCGGAUUUAUUGGGUUUAAAGGGUGCGUAGGCGGUCAUGUAAGUCAGCGGUGAAAUCCGGCAGCUCAACUGUCGAUGUGCCAUUGAUACUGCAUGACUUGAGUACUGAUGAGGUAGGCGGAAUUGACGGUGUAGCGGUGAAAUGCUUAGAUAUCGUCAAGAACACCGAUGAGCGAAGGCAGCUUACUAAGCAGUAACUGACGCUGAGGCACGAAAGUGUGGGGAUCAAACAGG
rnacentral:rRNA from 1 species